rnacentral:rRNA from 1 species
AGUGAACGCUGGCGGUAGGCCUAACACAUGCAAGUCGAACGGCAGCACAGUAAGAGCUUGCUCUUACGGGUGGCGAGUGGCGGACGGGUGAGGAAUACAUCGGAAUCUACUUUUUCUUGUGGGAUAACGUAGGGAAACUUACGCUAAUACCGCAUACUACCUACGGGUGAAAGCAUGGGAUCUUCGGACCUUUCGCUAUUCAAUGAGCCGAUGUCGGAUUAGCUAGUUGGCGGGGUAAAGGCCCACCAAGGCGACGAUCCGUAGCUGGUCUGAGAGGAUGAUCAGCCACACUGGAACUGAGACACGGUCCAGACUCCUACGGGAGGCAGCAGUGGGGAAUAUUGGACAAUGGGCGCAAGCCUGAUCCAGCCAUACCGCGUGGGUGAAGAAGGCCUUCGGGUUGUAAAGCCCUUUUGUUGGGAAAGAAAAGCAGCAGGUUAAUACCCCGCUGUUCUGACGGUACCCAAAGAAUAAGCACCGGCUAACUUCGUG